AUUCCGAAGGGUAUGCCUGUUUGAGUGUCAUGAAUACUCCAACCGCCGGUUUUGCCGACGGAGUGGGACUUGGGCGUUGCUUCUGCUCGCCUUAAAUGAAUGCUCGUGAGAUGUUAUAAGUCUCGUCUCUACCGAGCCCCGCCUUUGGGCAACUUUUUCAUUUUGACCUCAAAUCAGGUAGGACUACCCGCUGAACUUAA
rnacentral:misc_RNA from 1 species